AACUCCACUGGGCAACCCUGAAGCUGAAGUUAGGCUAAGGAGCCAGACUAGGAGCUGGUGUGCACCCUAAGGCUUGGUGAAUCAGUGCAGGAUAUGUGCUCAACUCAAUACCCUCAGAGGACAAGAUCUGUCUGUACUUUGCAAUUAAAUCAGGUGUCCUCUGGCAGGGACCCCAGAUGGAAUACCUUGUGACAAAAGGCGAUUCUCCUUCAGACCUUUAUUGAGGAUACUCCACCUUUCCACCAAGAAAAGCAGAUUCUGCCCCAUCCCCCUCCGCUAGAGCCCCUUCAUGCAGACAUUCAGAUGCUCUGGGGAAGGUUUGAGCAUGAAUUCAGAGUCACCAAAAUUCCCCAGCUUUCUAACCUCCCAGGAAGAAAGUCCAGGGGAAAUGAAAGCAAUCCUCCAACUGGAGCCAAGCAUGGGGGAUUUCUCAGCUAGCAGCCUGGUGACCAACUCUGAGGUUAGUGGGAAAGCCCCAGCCUAGCUCAGUACCCACAUCCUGGUCCUGUACGCUUCUACACUCACUAUCUGGAUUUGGAGGAGCCAUGGGCAGUUCCCAGGUAGUGUCCUCAGCACUGCUGCUAUCAGUCCUGCCACUUUCUUGACUCCCUGCCUUGUAAGCAGCCUUGGGAACCAGGACAUGAGGAUCUGACCACAAAUGCAGGCAAAGGAAACAUAGGCACCAAAGACACAUGAGACUCUUCUCUGCUCUGUCAGAGAAUUGCUGCUAAUCCCUCAUGGGCUGUUAACAAAAACAUGCCAGCCACUUGUAGGGCUCAUACCCACUCCUCCCAUCCUCCCCAUUUGCCUCUCACCUUCCUGAACUUAGCACCUUUGUUACCAUCUUUCAGAUGGGACGUAAACCCAAGGUACUGUAGUACGAUUUAUGACCCAGGAAGGCUCUUCUGGUGACCCACCCUGCUAGCAAAGAUAAGAAGCCUGCCAAAAAACUUCUAAGUUCUGCCAAGAAGUAUUGACAGAUGCAGCUUGUUAAUUGCACUGGGAUAUGAGAGAGGUAAGGCCUGAUUCGCUGUGCCAGUGAACUAGGGGCAGAAACAAGGUGAUCUUGCAGGAUAACCUAUAUAAGCUUGGGAAAACUCAGGCUGAGGUUAAUAUUCUAUUAUCUGACUCACCAAUCAAAUCAGCCCCAAGAAGGGGAACAUUUGAACCAACUUGUGCAUGUUUUAUUUAGUCAUGUUCACAUCUGCCUGAUAGGUUUCCCCCUUCCAGUCCCACCACCUUACCCCUUUAAUUGUCGGCACCUUUCCAGAAUUGCUGUGUGGCUCCCUCCUCUGCUUGGCUAGAUGAGAUAUAGGGUUUGUUUUAGGAGCGAUCCUGCAGGGGGCAGCAGCAUGUGCCUUAAAAAUUACUAGGUUUGAAUGCCGGAAAGAUGCAAAAUUGCAGAUGCAAAAAAUGCAAAAAUGCAAUCUCAAAUCCAAAACAUCAAUGCCAGUAGGGAGCUGUGGAGGAAUAUGCACUGUGCAAUCCCAAAAACAGAACCUGGUAGAUGACAGGAGGACCAAACCAAAUGGCAGCAGCAUUCAUCAACACAAGUAGAUCUAUCACCUAAAUUCAUGCCCCCUAAAGCUCAACUCCCCUAUCCCCCUACUGGGGAAGUGCCCAAGGUUUGGAGAAGUCAUCCACAGAUCCAACAGCUUCUAAUGAGAAGCUGGGGUGAGAGAGAGGCCAGCAAAGCAUGACAUGGGGCAGGGUUGUGAAGAGUCAUUCAGGUAGUCCUGGUCACCUCUGAAGGCAUGGGACAUCUUAUUAUUGCUGGCUUGACAGCCCUGGAGAUCUCAGUCCUCUCUUUAGCCACAGGACAGAUAAAACAUGGGCAGCAGCCCUGCAAGCUUCUCUAUCAUCACUCAAACCAAACCUACAGGAACCACCUUUAAGCCUUAGAAGACCUUUCUCUCCUCAGGACCAGGCAGAAUUAAUCUCCCUGCUGAGAAGCCAGGGCUUCAGCUGGUAUUACUGGUUGCUGGUCAGUGAAGGGGUCAUGUGUCUUACUGAAUUGGAUCAAGACUCUCAACUCAUUCCCACAGGCCAUAAAACAACCAUAUGCAUUGAUGACUUUUGCCCACUACUGAACUGGGCUGCUGCUGAACUUCUCUAUAGUCCAUUGCCAAUCCCAUCAAGACACCUGCAGCUAUUACUAAUGUCAGGCAUCCCUAAUGUAAAAGAGGACAGCUGAGAUGCUGAAACUUGGAUCUUCUGGGCUCUGCCCCCUUCACCCCCGCUACAGCCAGAAUAGGCACCAAAAGACUUGCGGCAGAGGACAGCCACACAAAGGGAUUGUUGUAUACAUAUGAGCAUGAGGCUGGUUAUAAAUGCAUGAGACAUGUACAAAAUACACGUGACCUAAUGGCUGUGUGUUCAGCUGUCAACUACUAUCUAAGGACUCCUGAGAAUUCAGCUCCCACUGUCAGGCCAUCAACCUUUGGCUCAGCAGCUCUGCAUCAGGUGCAGAGACAGCGGCCAAUUUGCCCAUUCCUGGGCACUAGGAGCCUGCAUUUUAUCCUGAGGCCACAGGGGGAUGUGUCUGUACCAUCUGGAUUCCUGCUUUGUUCUUCUCUUUGCACCCUCUCCCCAUCCCCUCUAGUCACACUCUGAUGCUGCCAGCAGAAGCUGUCACCCACUCGCCUCCUCCUCACCCCCACCCACCUCGCAGCUGUGUGCAGCAGAUUAAAGGGGGGCUGGCUCAAGGUUUAACCAGAGUUCAUUCCAGUUGGGGACAAGAUUCCAGCUCAGAUUCUCCUACCAGGAAAUAAACCCACUGCCCUUUCCAGGUGGGGUCAAGAAUCCAGUUCUGGCUCCCCAGCUGCUGCUUCCUGGUAUGAUUCAGAUGCUGUGCAAACACUUGCAUCUGAGAUAGCCAUGGGAAACCUGCAGAUGGGCUCCUUGUCCCUCUCUGGGAAGGGCCUGGCACACGUCCAUUUGUGGGCCAGGAGAAAAGAGGGAUGGGGAAGAUUCGCAAAAGGUUCAAAUCUGCCCCUUGGCCCCCAGUUCAAGUGCAGAUUCCAUAGAAAGAUCACAACAUGCACUGGCCAGGACUGUCCUGCAGCUGGCAAUACAGUACUGCAAUGAUUCAGGUGUUCCAAAAACAGGAGACGGGGCCUGGCCAAAUCAUGAGACUGACUUAAAAAUCAUGAGGUGGGGCGGGGGAGGUUUAAAAUGUAUUUUGGGUCUUUUUCAUCAGUCUUCUGGUGCUGAAGCCUUUAAAGGUGUCCCAUUUUUCAAGCUUUUCUGUGCAACCCUGAAUGGUAGAAACUGCCUUCUUUUUUAAAUAGCUGCAAUUCUGACAUAAUCAGAUAUCAGCCAUCGAUUGCAAAGUGCUUUACUCAGUUGAGUAAGGCAUCUUAUCAAUAUCCCACAGAUGCAUCGAUAUAGCAGAACUAUAAACAGAGCCCAGAUCUCCUGUGUCCCAGCCCCAUGCUCAGUCCCCGAGAUCACAGCUGCCCACUUAACCUGAGUAUUUUAACACUCACAUCUCUCCCCCUAGAGAAGGAGUUGGAGAGAUCACAUGGCCUGGUGUCCCCAUGUCUAUCGAUUGGUGUCUUUUUCACCUCAUUAUCUAUGGGGACUAUUUAUUUUUACAACCCUUCCCUCCCAGUGUCUGCCAUUGAGCCAGCUGCUCCCUUCCCUGGCACAUCCUGGACAGCACCUUCAGUCUUGCUGUGACCUCUGACCUACAUGGCAAUACCUUCUGGUAUUCUCUCUGCACUAAUCUGUCUUCUUCCACCGUUAUUCAAAUCAAAGACCAGACAGUCACUGCCUGGCCGUCAAACAGGGACGAUAUGUCACAGCCUCUCAGCCAAUGCAAAUUAGUGUGGGGACAUGGAUGAGCUGAGCGCAUUGUGCUCAGAGGUGUGAAUCCAUGCAGCAACGGAGACCGGGGGGGGGGGGGGAGGGGAGGUAAGAGACUCAGAUGAUGUCUUCGCUACCAAAAAAGGUGGAUUUGCAUAGCGAGGUAACUAAUGAGCAUGAGCUACCUCACCGCAAAAUCUUACCAGAGAUGAUGUGUGGGCAGAUUUUACCCCCAUGUAGCUAGGAGAGCUCAAAAUCCACUUUCUCGUCCCCAGCUCACAAGUGGAUUUGAUGUAAGAUUACACCACAGACUGGGCAGGACUGGCCUGAAUUGUUACCAUAGUGCCAACCACAAGUGAUCCACAAUGAGGGCCAGAAAAUCAUGAAAUUGACUGUAGUAUGAACACCACCCUAACUACAGUGCACUAAAAGCUACAGCUGCCUGGUCUCCACAUGGCUUUGACAAUGAGCUAAUGGGUGUUAGUUAUCCUACUGUAAACUCCACCUUUUUUUGGCCUUGAAGCCAUAGCCCAAGAAGGAAUCCUUUCACCAGUGUGUUGGCAGGUGCGUAAAUCCCACUGCACUCGAAGGCUUCAUAGCAUUGUCCUAGGGAAGCCAAGGGGUAAAAUGCUAGAGUGGCUCUUGAACCUUCUCAGGCAGUGGUAUCUCACGAAGAAAGGCCUUCAGGGCAAGAGCAGUGUCAGCAGUCAGGCUGGGGAAGCCGUAUCCUAGAAAUGGGGAUCAAACCCAUCCUGGGGGAAGUGAACAGAGAGGGUUGGUGCCUCGGCUAUCCAGCGUCUCAGAGGAGCCAUUACCACAAUGAAAGGUCUUUGAGUGGGGAGAGAUGCUGCUUCCACAUCUCCAUUUCCAGCAUGUGUAAUAUCCAAGGGGCAAAGGAAACACAGAUUAAAAUGCGGGAAGGAUCCCAAGGACAUGGACACAAAAUCUCUCUGUACAGAAAGCAGCCUGUAGGGACACAGUGAUGGAGGAGAUUCUGUGACGCUCUAGUGGAGUUUUUAACCAAGUCUCCUUGGAUGCAAUUUCUGCCCCUUUGAUGUUUGCUUUCCAUGAAUAUACAGCAGCAGGACUGUCCACCGACUGCAGAAAUUAAGUAAAUGGCACGAGAUAUUUGCAGCUAUUUGUAAUCACACUCACAGAAAUGAUCUGAUUCCUAGAGACAUAUGCCACUCCCACACAACCCUGUGGCCCACAAGUCCAAUCAAAACAAAACACAUUUAAAACAAAAAAACAAACCAACACACAUUCAAUUUGAGGUACAGCCCAAGAAUUAGUCUCAAAAAAAUAUAUGGCAAUUAAUGUCAUUAAUUCAAGAGUCAUAAUUCACACCCACAAACAACUGUGAUGUGCAAAGACCACCCAGGUCAGCAACAGCAGCAGCAGCAGCUAAUGGAAAUAAGCUUUCAAGAAGACUUAGAUAACUGUGCCCUUCGUUACCAGCACUCCCAGCUAUCUUCGAGACACCACCGAUUUCCUGAG